rnacentral:lncRNA from 1 species
AGGUGUGAAUGUUGCACGUACAUUGGUUCUGGGUGAGGCACAACAAUCUCAAGAUGCUGACGACGAUGAAGAGCGAGCAAGUGAAUCAGAACCUCAUGACGAGGACGAAGAAUUGAUUGCAGGUGCUUCAAACAAUCCAGAUGAAAAUGUAGAACAACCUGAUGCAGAUGAGCAAGAUGCAGAGGAGCGCGAGGACAAGCCUCUGACUCCCCAAAAUGCAGAGGAAAUUCCAAUUGGUGAAGAAUCAAAUGACACCAAACAGAAAUUGCGCUUGCCAAAUAAGAAAAAACCCCCGAGUAGAGUUGCAAAGAAGGGAAACGAAAAGCGUUCUGGAGUCCGUCAAGGUGUGAAUGUUGCACGUACAUUGGUUCUGGGUGAGGCACAACAAUCUCAAGAUGCUGAAGACGAUGAAGAGCGAGCAAGUGAAUCAGAACCUCAUGACAAGGACGAAGAAUUGAUAGCUGGUGCUUCAAACAAUCCAGAUGAAAAUGUAGAACAACCUGAUGCAGAUGAGCAAGAUGCAGAGGAGCGCGAUGACAAGCCUCUGACUCCCCAAAAUGUAGAGGAAAGUCCAAUUGGUGAAGAAUCAAAUGAUACCAAACAGAAAUUGCGCUUGCCAAAUAAGAAAAAACCUCCGAGUAGACUUGCAAAGAAGGAAGAUAAAGAGCGCUCUAGAGUCCGUCAAGGUGUAAAUGUUGCACGUACUUCGGUUCUGGAUGAGGCACAACAAUCUCAAGAUGGUGACGACGAUGAAGAGCGAGCAAGUGAAUCAGAACCUCAUGACGAGGACAAAGAAUUGAUUGCGGGUGCUUCAAACAAUACAGAUGAAAAUGUAGAACAACCUACUGCGGAUGAGCAAGAUGUAAAGCAUGAUGACAAGCCUUUCAGUCACCAAACAGAGACACAUAGUAGGGAUUCCCGUCAAAAUAUGGAGGAAGGAUCUGAUGCAGUUGGAGAAGAAUCAAAUUACUCCAAACAGAAUUUGCACCUACCCAAGAAGAAAAAAUCUCCGCGUAGCGGUGCAAAGAAGGGAAAUACACAACCUUAUGGAGUUUGUCAAGUUUUGAAUCCUCCAAAUAUUUAUGAUCCAAAAGAGGUAGAAAAUUCUCAAGUUGGUGACAACGAUGAAGAGCAAAAUGAAUCGGGACCUCAAGACGACGAAGAGCCAUAUGAAUCGGAACCUCAAGACAAUGACGAAGAAUUGAUUCCGGGUGGUUCAAACAUUACAGAUGA